rnacentral:tRNA from 1 species
UCCAUUUUGGCAGACUAUAUAAUGCAAAAGACUUAGAAUCUUACAAACUCUUA